ACGAUGCGCAAAUCCACCGAAGCUUCUACGAUGCUAUUUUAUCGUUAGCCGAAAUCGUAACCAUCGAGUGCGCAACUUGUUAACACAGCGCGACAGAAACUAUAACAACUGCUAUCGCAUUGCUCGAAAAGAUAUUCCAUUCUCCGUUUGAUAAACGCCAGCGACUGCAGAAGGCAAACCGUGCAGCUUGGAGAGGAACGAGGAAGCUUGCAUUAAUAAAGCGAAGCUUAUACCAGCGACUUGUAUUUAUAGAUCAACUUGCAAAUAAUUAUACUUCGGCAAAAUCAGCCAAUAACGAGCAAAGAGACGAAAAGGAAUUAUAUAUCGGUCAACGUGAAUGGCUAUUGUAUAUGUGGUAUCGAAACGAAAAGAAGAUAAAUGCGAGUGAAAAAGAAUGACAAAUUGUUAGUGUAAAUUUCGCAUAUUGGAACGCAACCCUCUAAACCCUCUUAUAGGAAAUGCCACGGUCUAAUGCACUUGACGAGAACUGAUAGUGGUCGGAGGAAUAACGGCGUGCUCGUUCACCCAUGUAGUAGCAGCUACUUGUAGAGUAGUCGGUGCUCAAACUAUCUACUCUGAACUUUCGAGUGCCUAGUCAAGCGCCGUGUAUCAGUGGCGUGUUUGUGAGACUAUGCAAGCGUUUGUCCGUACGAGGGCGAAACUGAAAGAUGCCUGAGAACCGGUAAUGAUAGACAACAGAUACACAGAAUGUGAGGAAGAAAGAGAGAAGCCGAGGAGAGGAAAAGCAUGUGCUGCUGUAAGCGCGGUAUGAUAAUAGGAAAGAUUUUCUGAGAAAAGUAUACAAAUAAUACAAUACAGAAAUUACUCUUAGUUUCUGUGAAUUAAUUUGUUCAAUAAGAUAACUAACUGUACGGUAAAUAUAUACAGGGUGAUCUAGUGUGCAACAAUCUAGCGUGUAUCGAGGUUGAACGUGAAUGCGAAUGCGAAAUCCAGAUAAAUCAUUCGCAUUUCAUAGCCAGCAGGCAAAAAUUAAUAAAAUACAGAUACAAAUAGACGGAUAUUUCCUGCGUUGAUGCAUCGAAUAAGUUGUUCGUUUAUUUGACACUUUGUCGUUAAAAAAUUGUAGGUGGAGAUGAGGUACAAUGCGAUGUAAAUACAAGGAUUGAUAUAAUUGAUCCAAAAACUGAAAAUGGCAAGGGCUUGGAUUGUAGGAUUCGGCAAUCGUGUUGUUAUUUUAUACUAAUUGUCCAAAAUAAAUUAAAUUCUCGUCAGUUAGCAAGAGAUAAACUCGCGAUACAGGACGAUUCAAUCGGUGUGAAAUUUGAUCGAUCGACUUUUCGACGAAACGACAUUCGUGAGCAUUCGUGCUAAUUUUACGAUUUCGCGAUAACAACGAAAGGAGGUUUAUAACGAG
rnacentral:misc_RNA from 1 species